rnacentral:lncRNA from 1 species
AUCAUCAAACUAACAAUAAACUCAAUCUUUAACCCAUACAUGCUAACACAAACUAUCAAAAGGCAUAUUUCUUUACUAUAGAAAAUACAAAAUGAAAAAAAAUAAAAUGAAAGUGGGGUUAAUAAUAAUAAGCCUCAUGCAGUUGAAGCUUACCAGCUUCACCAUACUGAACUAGUAAGCCUCAUGCAGUUAUGCUCCUCAGCAGCAGACUUGAAUGUAAUUAAUCUACAAAUAUUAAGUAUGAACAUAAGAUAAUGAAUUUCAACUAUAUAAUAAAACAAUCCAAACUGAAAACAAAGAAGAAUUUCAACUUGGCAAUAUAAAAAUCAAAGAAAGCAGAGACACCGAAGAUAUCACAAACCUAAGAUAAUGAAUUUCAGCAAGUUAGUGUACUUUAAAAUCAUCAAUAUUGGGGGGAAAUUGAAAAAACAGCACCAUUGCAACAAAAUCAUCCACAUAGGAUUGCAGGUUCAAUUAUCUUCUCUCCUACUCCUAGCUAGAUAUAAGUGAAUAUUAUAAACAAUGAGAGGAAAAUAAUAGAUGCUCUCUACCAGUUUGUCAAUGCAGCAAAUCCAUAAUCAGAGUAGUAGUAUGCAUCGCAGAAAGCAAGAUGAGAAAAACCAAAACAGAAAAAGUAAGACAAUGCAGAAGCAGAAAACAAGUUAAUCAGGGACAUGGUAAGUAAGAAUUGAGGUACCAUAGACAAGUUAUAGUUUUACUUCAGCUAUGGUUCCUUUUAUUCCAUAGACUACCGUUUGGCCAGCUUAUUUCAAACUUUUUACUCUAUAUAAGGAGAAGUUGGCCUAAACAGUUUUUUUUUUUAAAAGUACUUGAUUAAAAAAGUAGCUUAAUUUAUGUGUGUAAAUUUAACAAAUAAUGAGCUUCCAACAAAGUUAGAAUAUGGAACUUAGAGGCCGUUUGUUACAGAUUAAAAAAAUAAUGAUUUUGAUGUAAAAUAAUUUAGAGAUUAGUUUUUAGAGAUUUUUAGAAAAGUUGAAUUUACUUUAUAUUUGUUUAUUAUAAUAAAAAUCACUUUUUUUAAAUAAAAUAAUCUUUAGUUUGUUUGGAUAGAACUUAUAAAAAUGAUUUUUUUUAAUUAUAAAUAACUUUCUUCUUUUAACAUUUCUUUUCUCUCUCCUCUAAAAAAAAUCUAUUAUUUUAUAAGCUACUCUUAAAAAAAAUCUUCUAUUUUUAAUAAUUUAGAAUAAAUUUUAAAUAAAAUAUUUUAUCAUAGUCGAUCAAUUGUUUUGUAAGUAGCUUUUAUCUUAAAUUUUUUUUAAAAAAAUCCAAACAGCUGUUACUUUUCCUUUAAAGUUAUACUAUGUUUUAACUUUAAGCUAAAAGUAACUUUCAGGUUGAAAAAAAGUCAGAAUCACAAGAAAACUAAAAACAAAACAUUAAUUGGAACAACAAAGAAGUAUGUCAAAAUACUAUUUUGAGACACAACAAAGUAAAUAAAUUAGCAAGCAUAAAAGAUGAGAACUUCGAAGAAGAAUAUGAUACCUUUGAAGAUCAGCUGGCCUUGAUAAACAACUCCAUAUCCUCCUUCACCAAUAAUAUUCGCUUUUGAAAACUUGUUUGUUGCACGUUCUAAGUCCCUCAAUGUACACCAGUGCCCCCAACCAGCCAAGGUGAGCGAACUCAGGAAGACCAGAAAGAGGCAACAGUUAAGUCAAAGAACUUCGCAAUCGGUGUAUGUAU